rnacentral:misc_RNA from 1 species
GAUGAAGAACGUAGCGAAAUGCGAUAAGUAAUGUGAAUUGCAGAAUUCAGUGAAUCAUCGAAUCUUUGAACGCACAUUGCGCCCGCCAGUAUUCUGGCGGGCAUGCCUGUUCGAGCGUCAUUUCAACCAUCAAGCCCCAGGCUUGUGUUAGGGACCUGCGGCUGCCGCAGGCCCUGAAAACCAGUGGCGGGCUCGCUGUCACACCGGGCGUAGUAGAUUUUAUCUCGCUCAGGGCGUGCUGCGGGUUCCGGCCGUUAAAAAGCCUUUUUUACCCAAGGUUGACCUCGGAUCAGGUAGGAAGACCCGCUGAACUUAAGCAUAUCAAUAAGCGGAGGA